AUUGAACGCUGGCGGCAUGCCUUACACAUGCAAGUCGAACGGCAGCGGGGGAGAAGCUUGCUUUUCCUGCCGGCGAGUGGCGAACGGGUGAGUAAUACAUCGGAACGUGCCCUGUAGUGGGGGAUAACUAGUCGAAAGAUUAGCUAAUACCGCAUACGACCUGAGGGUGAAAGUGGGGGACCGCAAGGCCUCAUGCUAUAGGAGCGGCCGAUGUCUGAUUAGCUAGUUGGUGGGGUAAAGGCCUACCAAGGCGACGAUCGGCAGCUGGUCUGAGAGGACGAUCAGCCACACUGGGACUGGGACACGGCCCAGACUCCUACGGGAGGCAGCAGUGGGGAAUUUUGGACAAUGGGCGAAGGCCUGAUCCAGCAAUGCCGCGUGUGUGAAGAAGGCCUUCGGGUUGUAAAGCACUUUUGUCCGGAAAGAAAUGGCUCUGGUUAAUACCUGGGGUCGAUGACGGUACCGGAAGAAUAAGGACCGGCUAACUACGUGCCAGCCGCCGCCGUAA
rnacentral:rRNA from 1 species